UGGGCGUUAAGUUGCAGGGUAUAGACCCGAAACCCGGUGAUCUAGCCAUGGGCAGGUUGAAGGUUGGGUAACACUAACUGGAGGACCGAACCGACUAAUGUUGAAAAAUUAGCGGAUGACCUGUGGCUGGGGGUGAAAGGCCAAUCAAACCGGGAGAUAGCUGGUUCUCCCCGAAAGCUAUUUAGGUAGCGCCUCGUGAAUUCAUCUCCGGGGGUAGAGCACUGUUUCGGCUAGGGGGCCAUCCCGGCUUACCAACCCGAUGCAAACUGCGAAUACCGGAGAAUGUUAUCACGGGAGACACACGGCGGGUGCUAACGUCCGUCGUGAAGAGGGAAACAACCCAGACCGCCAGCUAAGGUCCCAAAGUCAUGGUUAAGUGGGAAACGAUGUGGGAAGGCCCAGACAGCCAGGAUGUUGGCUUAGAAGCAGCCAUCAUUUAAAGAAAGCGUAAUAGCUCACUGGUCGAGUCGGCCUGCGCGGAAGAUGUAACGGGGCUAAACCAUGCACCGAAGCUGCGGCAGCGACACUCAGGUGUUGUUGGGUAGGGGAGCGUUCUGUAAGCCUGCGAAGGUGGCCUGUGAGGGUUGCUGGAGGUAUCAGAAGUGCGAAUGCUGACAUAAGUAACGAUAAAGCGGGUGAAAAGCCCGCUCGCCGGAAGACCAAGGGUUCCUGUCCAACGUUAAUCGGGGCAGGGUGAGUCGACCCCUAAGGCGAGGCCGAAAGGCGUAGUCGAUGGGAAACGGGUUAAUAUUCCCGUACUUGGUGUUACUGCGAAGGGGGGACGGAGAAGGCUAUGUUGGCCGGGCGACGGUUGUCCCGGUUUAAGCGUGUAGGUGUGUGUUCCAGGUAAAUCCGGUUCACUUUAACACUGAGGCGUGACGACGAGGCACUACGGUGCUGAAGCAACAAAUGCCCUGCUUCCAGGAAAAGCCUCUAAGCAUCAGGUAACAUCAAAUCGUACCCCAAACCGACACAGGUGGUCAGGUAGAGAAUACCAAGGCGCUUGAGAGAACUCGGGUGAAGGAACUAGGCAAAAUGGUGCCGUAACUUCGGGAGAAGGCACGCUGACACGUAGGUGAAGUGAUUUACUCACGGAGCUGAAGUCAGUCGAAGAUACCAGCUGGCUGCAACUGUUUAUUAAAAACACAGCACUGUGCAAACACGAAAGUGGACGUAUACGGUGUGACGCCUGCCCGGUGCCGGAAGGUUAAUUGAUGGGGUCAGCGCAAGCGAAGCUCCUGAUCGAAGCCCCGGUAAACGGCGGCCGUAACUAUAACGGUCCUAAGGUAGCGAAAUUCCUUGUCGGGUAAGUUCCGACCUGCACGAAUGGCGUAAUGAUGGCCAGGCUGUCUCCACCCGAGACUCAGUGAAAUUGAACUCGCUGUGAAGAUGCAGUGUACCCGCGGCAAGACGGAAAGACCCCGUGAACCUUUACUAUAGCUUGACACUGAACAUUGAGCCUUGAUGUGUAGGAUAGGUGGGAGGCUUUGAAGUGUGGACGCCAGUCUGCAUGGAGCCGACCUUGAAAUACCACCCUUUAAUGUUUGAUGUUCUAACGUGGACCCGUGAUCCGGGUUGCGGACAGUGUCUGGUGGGUAGUUUGACUGGGGCGGUCUCCUCCUAAAGAGUAACGGAGGAGCACGAAGGUUGGCUAAUCCUGGUCGGACAUCAGGAGGUUAGUGCAAUGGCAUAAGCCAGCUUGACUGCGAGCGUGACGGCGCGAGCAGGUGCGAAAGCAGGUCAUAGUGAUCCGGUGGUUCUGAAUGGAAGGGCCAUCGCUCAACGGAUAAAAGGUACUCCGGGGAUAACAGGCUGAUACCGCCCAAGAGUUCAUAUCGACGGCGGUGUUUGGCACCUCGAUGUCGGCUCAUCACAUCCUGGGGCUGAAGUAGGUCCCAAGGGUAUGGCUGUUCGCCAUUUAAAGUGGUACGCGAGCUGGGUUUAGAACGUCGUGAGACAGUUCGGUCCCUAUCUGCCGUGGGCGCUGGAGAACUGAGGGGGGCUGCUCCUAGUACGAGAGGACCGGAGUGGACGCAUCACUGGUGUUCGGGUUGUCAUGCCAAUGGCACUGCCCGGUAGCUAAAUGCGGAAGAGAUAAGUGCUGAAAGCAUCUAAGCACGAAACUUGCCCCGAGAUGAGUUCUCCCUGAGACUUAGAGUCUCCUGAAGGAACGUUGAAGACGACGACGUUGAUAGGCCGGGUGUGUAAGCGCAGCGAUGCGUUGAGCUAACCGGUACUAAUGAACCGUGAGGCUUAACCUUA
rnacentral:rRNA from 1 species